UACCCUUGUCUUUUGCGCACUUGUUGUUUCCUGGGCGGGUUCGCUCGCCACCAGGACCACCAAAUAAACCUUUUUAAUGCAGUUGCAAUCAGCGUCAGUACAACAAAUGUUAAUCAUUUACAACUUUCAACAACGGAUCUCUUGGUUCUGGCAUCGAUGAAGAACGCAGCGAAAUGCGAUACGUAGUGUGAAUUGCAGAAUUCAGUGAAUCAUCGAAUCUUUGAACGCACAUUGCGCCCUUUGGUAUUCCAAAGGGCAUGCCUGUUCGAGCGUCAUUUGUACCCUCAAGCUUUGCUUGGUGUUGGGCGUUUUUUUUUGUCUUUGGCUCGCCCAAAGACUCGCCUUAAAACGAUUGGCAGCCGGCCUACUGGUUUCGCAGCGCAGCACAUUUUUGCGCUUGCAAUCAGCAAAAGAGGACGGCAAUCCAUCAAGAACUCCUUCUCACGUUUGACCUCGGAUCAGGUAGGGAUACCCGCUGAACUUAA
rnacentral:rRNA from 1 species